GCGGCGGCGGCGGCGGGACUGGCCCUGCGCCCGGGCACCGCCUGCGCUGCGCCGCCCGGCCUCACUCCGCGGCCCGCCAGGACCCGGCCCCGGUGAACGGGCUCGGGGUGCCGAGGUCCGGCUGCGGGGCCGGGAAGCCACCUCCACCUUGCCGUCUGUUACGACCCCCGAGGCGCAAGGCUGAGCCCCAUCUCGCUAUCCGGGUCCGGAGGGGUUCACCUUAGAAGGAUUUUUUGAAGCUCUUGGCGCUGGCUCUAAAAGAACCCACUUCCUUGCGGAUUUCAGGAGUCAAGAAUCCUUAAACGGAGCCAAUUUGCUUUGUAAAGCCAAUUGCCCAAGUGACUUGAGUUCGAAAGGAGAUACUUCCUGGACAACUGCUAUAAAAACAACAACAAAUACUUUUAUUAAUUCGGGGAGCCUGGUCACCAACUGGAUGCUCAGGGGAGAUGGAACCCUGAGCAGCCCAUGUACAUGGAAGAUCUUUAUUGCAGAGAUCUUCAAACCAGAACAAAACAAUCAGCAGGCGGGUCUGCGGCAUUCUAAGAACAGACACUGGCAGGAACAAAGGUUACAGAAGUGAAUGACUCUAAGAAUCAAGCAAGACAUGGAGUGGCAGAAAAUUAAAUUCUGAAUCCCUAAAAGACAUGAUGCAAAGAUGACCUCCUCUCCCAAGGACAUGUCCUCAUCCUGCGCUGACCGUGUGUGGUCAUUUCAGAAAAAGCGAACAAUGGAGAACCUGCUUGAAUGAUACUUAGACCUGGGACAACUGAAAGGAGUUGCACUUAUACAAUUCGGUGCAGUGGAGUCCCCUGGGAGGAGCCCCAGUCACACGGGAAGAGACAGUCACAGCUGUAAUAAAUGAUGGCUAGCAUGUAUCAAGCACUGGCCGAGUCCUCAGCAUACAUUACAUUACAGAAUUCAGUGUGCACCUCAACACUCUGGGGGUGUAUUUUAUAGGAGAACUGUGGCACAAAGAGGGGUUUUGCAAUCCCAAGAAGAGUCAGCGUUUGAAUUUUGAAUUUAUGUGCAAAAGAGACAAAUAUGGCUAAAGGGCAUGGGCACACUCUCUCUGGGUCCCCGUGUUAACGAUUUUAGUAGCUUCUAUUUAAAUGGUGCUCUUUCUCUAAGAAGAUCAUUGGGUAUUUUCUGAAAGCUUACAUAAUGGCUGGAAGCCCCCUGCCUCUGCAAAGGAACACCUGAUUCAGAAAAGUAAACACCAUAACAGCAACCCAUUCAUCAGCUGCCCAGACUCACAACCAAGCAGACAUGCAGCGACUUUCCAAAAACCCUCAUUUCUGGCAUUACAGCCUGUGGCAAUAACAGAGUUAAGGAAAGGUAAGUGAAACUCAGAGAGACACAGUGAGAUAAUUAUUCCUCACGCCUGUUAGAAGAACAUUCCACCGUCUCAGAAGAAGCCCUGUCUGAAUCUGAUUCAGCUGAGAAAACAACUCAGGCCAUGGUAGCUGCACCCAACUCUCUAAAUCAACAGUGACCUGUGCUGAAGGGAUUAAGGCAUCCCAACAUUCCUCAGAGCCCAAGGCAAGGAGAAUCCCUUAUGAAGAUGAAAUUGAUCUUCAAGCACCCUCUACCUUACUCUGCGUGAUGCCAUAUUCUUCCUGAAUCCCACCCAACUCAAGAGCAUGAUUUGCAUAAUAAAAUCUCUAAUACUUUGAUGAACAAAUGUUAUCCAAGAUACUUUAAAAACUGCCUUCACGUCAUUCAACAAAUGUGUGGAAGAUGCCAGGCAUGCAAAUAUCAAUCAUGUGAUCCCCAACCUGGAAGAGCUCACAGACUAACUAGAGAGACAGAGGAAUGACCAAGCCCUGGCAAUGCAGUGUGACAG
rnacentral:lncRNA from 1 species